ACGGGCGCCCCGCCCCCGGCUCCGAGCAGUCGGAGUCGCCGAGUCCCAGCCCCGGCCGGGCAGUAGGUGGGGCGGGCGGGAGGGCCCUGCGGCCGCGUGGGGAGGCGCGGCCCGGGAUCGCGGCCGCACGAGGCUCGGGCAGCGCUCCCCACCGUCCCGUGGGUGAGUCCCCUCCGGUCCCCGAGGCCCCGCCGUGGGGCGGGGCGCGGGUGGGGGCGACGCUCUGCUCAACUUUGGCGUAACGGGAGGAGGAGACCGCGCUGUCUGCGCUGUGCGGCGGGGCGGGCAGGGCGCGUCCAGAGCGGCCCCCGACACCGCUCCCGGCCCAGCCUCCACCCGGCCCCCGGAGUCCCGGUUAUUUCAGAAUAUUGGAUUCCAGACCUUGUUUGAAACGUUUGGGCACUGGCAGAGAACAUUCUGCUCCUUCCUGCUCUCCACCUGAUUCAGGAGUUCUACGGGCAGUGCUGGAAGGGUCAUCCUUCAAGGUGUUGUGGAGUUUGCUGGCAGGUGAGUGCACUCCCCUCCACAGGCUAGAAUCACUAGUUGUGAGUCCUUUUGGGAGGUCGGGUGUGGCAUACGAGUGGCGUGUGGAAGAGAAGGUGGAGUGUGUUUCAAACCAGACCACUAAGUGUUUUCAGAAAUUUAAAAGUGUGACACCUGUGAUCUUUUUCCUCUGUCUGUGUGUGUUUAAAUGGUGCAGCCCUGUGUGUGUGUGUACAUGCACAUGGCCAGACCUUGUGGCAAUGUUUGACAGCCCAGCUGACAGGCAUCGUGGGACUUACCAGCCUAUGCUGAGAGAUGUGCUCUGUGCAGUUGCAUGGCGAGUGACCACAUCUGUUCACCAAAACCACAAGUAAACGUGUGUCCAGAUGUCAGUGAACAGCACAUAUUUGCCACUCACAAAUGUUGGGAGAUAGGGAAUUACAGUUUUUAAACCAUUCUCAUUAACAUGUAAUACCAGGUUUAAAUAAUUAGAAUCCAGUGAAGUUUAGUUAAGACUAAAAUGAUUUUAAAACUAAUAUUUUUGCUGCCAAUUUAAGCAAUGUCUUCUGCUUGUUUGUGUUAGAAAGGCAAAGAUUCUGUGUGAAUAGAGGAUGGGGGCCUUCAGGCCUAUGGGAUGCUCAUC
rnacentral:lncRNA from 1 species